rnacentral:rRNA from 1 species
GAUGAACGCUGGCGGCGUGCCUAAUACAUGCAAGUCGAGCGAACAGACGAGGAGCUUGCUCCUCUGACGUUAGCGGCGGACGGGUGAGUAACACGUGGAUAACCUACCUAUAAGACUGGGAUAACUUCGGGAAACCGGAGCUAAUACCGGAUAAUAUAUUGAACCGCAUGGUUCAAUAGUGAAAGACGGUUUUGCUGUCACUUAUAGAUGGAUCCGCGCCGCAUUAGCUAGUUGGUAAGGUAACGGCUUACCAAGGCAACGAUGCGUAGCCGACCUGGGAGGGGGAUCGGCCACACUGGAACUGAAACACGGUCCAGACUCCUACGGGAGGCAGCAGUAGGGAAUCUUCCGCAAUGGGCGAAAGCCUGACGGAGCAACGCCGCGUGAGUGAUGAAGGUCUUCGGAUCGUAAAACUCUGUUAUUAGGGAAGAACAAAUGUGUAAGUAACUAUGCACGUCUUGACGGUACCUAAUCAGAAAGCCACGGCUAACUACGUG